rnacentral:misc_RNA from 1 species
UGUCACAGGAAGUAUUCGGUUGCCAAGCAACGUAGUUGUCCACCCGGCUCAAACUUUUUCAUGUGAGGUUAGACAAAGAUUAACUUCUUCCCGGGCUUAUCUCAGAGACAAUUUGUGGACGUCAGACCUCAGUACAUAUGCUACAGUCUGUAUUGCCUGGUUGCCAGAAGUGAGUGUUGUGGAAUGACUGCUCCCACUGACGAAGCUCUACAGGGAUACCAUACUGACUAUUACCUCCGUACACAUCGUAACAGCAAAUGGCCUGGCCACUCUCCAACAAAGAAGGAACUUUCUUUCCCAUUUGCCGCAAAUACAGGAGUUGAAAGAUUGGUUGUUUCUCAAAAUGAUGGCCCCUUUAGAGACGAACCCAGUGCUGAGUUAAAGGAGCUCCUCCGCAGAAGCCAACAACUGCAAGAAGAAGAACAAAACCUUCGGAAAAGUUUUGCAGAGUUGGGCGUGACUUCUUUUCCUUUCCGCAUGACAAACGUUGAGCCAAUCAGUCAACCAGCAAAUGCAAGGAAAGCUGUGAUGCUCAACAAACCGGAACCAAAACUGGUCAACAACCAAAAGUCCAAAUUGAGUAAACAUGUCCACAGAUCAAGAGAUGAAAGGAAGAUGCAGAGACCGGAGGAUACUGUCUAUCAACACAUCAAAAACUUGAAAGAUGAAUAUAUGAAGAAUGGAGGUCAAAGUGCUGAUGUGUUGGCCCAAAUGCAGAAGUUGGAGAUGGAAGCCAGACUUCAAGCUAUGAGACAAUAUGAACUGGAGAGAAACCCUCAAGAUAUUCCGAAAGAUUCUGUUACAGACCUCAAGCAACAACCAUCAAUAAACAAAGACAGCUUACCCUCAGGAUUGAACCGACAGCUUAGUGAAAUGGAAGUGAAACAUGAUAAGUUACUUUCCGAGUUGAAUAAGCUACAAAUUCAAAUCCAUGAUUUUGGGAAGAAGACACAAACUGAAGAUGACAUUGAAACACUGGAAAAAGAUCACCGGAAGAAUUUGUUGCUUCUUCACCAAAAGAUUGAAAUUAUUCAACAACAGAAAGAACUGGAAAGACAUCAACGUGACUUGGAUAAGAUUGUGUCUGGGAGUCGAUGGGGUCAGAUAGUCGUGAAGCCAGGCAAAGAAAGCAUGUACAGUCAGUCAAGCAGGGAUGGUCUCUACAUUCAAUACAACUUCAUUGAUGGCCUACCAGAAGAGGCUACCAUUUGUCGGCUGCUCUUACACUGGUUUAAUGGCACCAGUUCAGUCAGUGCAGAGGAAGACCUUACCAUGUCUCCAACGGUGGUCUGUGAUUAUCGCAACAAAUGGCAAGACGGACAGAACAACGUCAAAUACCAAGGAUUUGCAACGUUUGUGAACAAGCAGAUAGUGCCCAGAAAGAUCUACAGUUCCAAACUGUGUGUUGUGGUUGAGGUUCAAAUUGCCAUGAACACCAGUCAAUCACCAGAACGGAACAGUCUGUAUACCCAGGCCUGGACACGGAUUCAUCUCUUCAAUAGAUACCAUCAGCCACAGCUUGGAAAAUUCAGUGUCCCCCUAAAGACACUCCCCAUCAACGCUAAGCUUUCGGCAGCUGAAUUCGAAGCACGGAACCAGUUUGAGGAUGCGGAGCUUUACUAUGAGAUCCAGAAUGUGAAUGAAGAAUUUUCAUCAGAAAGCUUUUAUGAUAGACCACUUUACAGACAGUUCUAUCAGGUUCCGCACCAAGAUCCUGGGCCAUUGCCACCUCCAUCAGCCAGUCCGCCCAGAAGCCAAGGAGGAGAAGGUAGCCAUAUUCCAAGAAACCAAAGACACGGAGGGAGACAAUAGUUACUCUUUAUUGGAGUGAUAUAUAAUACUGUUUCCUACAUCUUGUUAUAUGUGUAUGUGUGUGUGUGUGUGUGUGUGUAUGUGUGUGUGUGUGUGUACUUCGUGUCCCAAAAGUCGCUGAUGGGUUUCAGUUUUUAAUAACUUCCUUAACUUUACAAAUAAAUAUUUGAAAUUUUCAUACAAUAUAAAGGACAUAAUGGAAAUUAAUAUGUACACACCACUACAUCACAUAUGUAAAAUGACAUCGCUUAAAUCGCAGCCAUUUUCGGUUUCACACAUCUGUACUCUUUCCAAAACUUGUACCAUAAUACCCUGAAGAGUUUCAGACCCUGCUUCUCUGAUUCUUC